GGUGCCGAGGUAGCUCAGUAGGUAGAGCGACGGACUGAAAAUCCGUGUGUCCCUGGUUCGAUUCCAGGUGGUACCACCA
rnacentral:tRNA from 1 species